AUGGGGAAGGCAGCAAGGGCAGCAGGAGCGACACCUCUCCACCGCCCCCCCGGAGGAGAUGCCCGCCCUCCCGUCUUCCUCGUCAGCCACCAGAUCUGCGUAUUCGACCACCGGGCCGACGACGUCCACACCGUGGCCCGGAUUGACAACUCCUUUGACCCGGAGGCCUCCUGCGAUGGCCUCCUCAUCCUCUCCAAGUUCGACAUCCAUGCUGAAGCUCCGUCUCACACCUUGCUUGUCUGCAACCCUGCCACUCGUGAGCAUGCCUCCCUCCGGUGUCCAUCGUGGGACUUCCACAUCGUUGGGAUGUACGCCCACCGACCCACCGGCGACGGCGACUACCGGCUGCUACUGCAACGGACGAUCGACAUGAAGUUGUCUGAAGGCCAAAUUGGCUGCUAUGUCUUCUCGUUGGGCUCCAAGCAGCCACCGAGGUACAUCGGGUGGCCGGAGGCAGCGUCAUGUGGUGUCCAUGCUCGGCCACUUGCGGUUGAUGUUGGCGCCGGCGCGCGGCGUUGGCGAUGCUCGGUGGUGCGGCUGCCUGGUGCGGUCGUUGUGUUUGUCGUCCCCUCCCGGCAACCUGUUGGUCCUGAUCAUGCGAGCUCAGGGGUGAGCGACUCUGCUUGUCGACGGCGUAGUGUCCUCGGAUCCAGGACUAGAGGGCAGGGGGCUCUCUUUGGAGGUAGAGACGAAUGGCGGACCGGAUGGCUUGGCCCAAGGGGGAUGACAGAGCGUGACAAUCCUCCUACAGCGGGAUCUACCUUAGCUCAGCCGCGGCGUGUGUUGGCUCCUGUUCGCCGAGGGCUUCGAUGUUCAAGCUUGUGCUUGGUGCAUUCGAGUCUUGUUAGUGGCUCCUUUGAAAUAAGGGAUCAGUUUUGGAACCACGAUGAGUACUGUUUGGACGUUGUUUCUGGGGAUGAUGGCGUGCUGGUGCUGCUCCUUCUUGGUCAGUAUAUGAUUCACGUUGACAGUGAUGGAGAAAUGCUUGAAAAUUUCAAUAUUGGUGAAAAACCCCGUAUGACAAAAUGGCGGCUCAAGCGCAGCAUACCUUCUUUUCGGCUCUAG
rnacentral:rRNA from 1 species